rnacentral:hammerhead_ribozyme from 1 species
AUUCAGCUGACUUGUCCCGAAUAGGACGAAACGUGCAUCCUGGAU